GAGUGCAAACAGAAAAUCCUCUACAACUACAAAGGAAAUUUCGGCUCCAUGGUCUAAGAAACAUCUCUUUGCUCAAAAAAUGUUUUCAAUUAAUAAUAAAUGCGACUUUUGAACCCGCAAGCGCGAAAAAACUGCACGACAACAGCUUGAUAACCAGAAAAUCAAUCAAAAAACAACUGAGAACCUCUUAGGAACCCUCUUCAUUAAUUAAUUCUCGUCCAAAUGAUAAACGGUCUAAGAGCAGUGUCUUUUUUCCUU